CAUUGGUCUGAGAGGAUGAUCAGUCACACUGGAACUGAGACACGGUCCAGACUCCUACGGGAGGCAGCAGUGGGGAAUAUUGGACAAUGGGCGAAAGCCUGAUCCAGCCAUGCCGCGUGUGUGAAGAAGGUCUUCGGAUUGUAAAGCACUUUAAGUUGGGAGGAAGGGCAGUUACCUAAUACGUGAUUGUUUUGACGUUACCGACAGAAUAAGCACCGGCUAACUCUGUGCCAGCAGCCGCGGUAAUACAGAGGGUGCAAGCGUUAAUCGGAAUUACUGGGCGUAAAGCGCGCGUAGGUGGUUUGUUAAGUUGGAUGUGAAAUCCCCGGGCUCAACCUGGGAACUGCAUUCAAAACUGACUGACUAGAGUAUGGUAGAGGGUGGUGGAAUUUCCUGUGUAGCGGUGAAAUGCGUAGAUAUAGGAAGGAACACCAGUGGCGAAGGCGACCACCUGGACUAAUACUGACACUGAGGUGCGAAAGCGUGGGAGCAAACAGGAUUAGAUACCCUGGUAGUCCACGCCGUAAACGAUGUCAACUAGCCGUUGGAAGCCUUGAGCUUUUAGUGGCGCAGCUAACGCAUUAAGUUGACCGCCUGGGGAGUACGGCCGCAAGGUUAAAACUCAAAUGAAUUGACGGGGGCCCGCACAAGCGGUGGAGCAUGUGGUUUAAUUCGAAGCAACGCGAAGAACCUUACCAGGCCUUGACAUCCAAUGAACUUUCUAGAGAUAGAUUGGUGCCUUCGGGAACAUUGAGACAGGUGCUGCAUGGCUGUCGUCAGCUCGUGUCGUGAGAUGUUGGGUUAAGUCCCGUAACGAGCGCAACCCUUGUCCUUAGUUACCAGCACGUCAUGGUGGGCACUCUAAGGAGACUGCCGGUGACAAACCGGAGGAAGGUGGGGAUGACGUCAAGUCAUCAUGGCCCUUACGGCCUGGGCUACACACGUGCUACAAUGGUCGGUACAGAGGGUUGCCAAGCCGCGAGGUGGAGCUAAUCCCACAAAACCGAUCGUAGUCCGGAUCGCAGUCUGCAACUCGACUGCGUGAAGUCGGAAUCGCUAGUAAUCGCGAAUCAGAAUGUCGCGGUGAAUACGUUCCCGGGCCUUGUACACACCGCCCGUCACACCAUGGGAGUGGGUUGCACCAGAAGUAGCUAGUCUAACCUUCGGGAGGACGGUUACCACGGUGUGAUUCAUGACUGGGGUGAAGUCGUAACAAGGUAGCCGUAGGGGAACCUGCGGCUG
rnacentral:rRNA from 1 species